rnacentral:rRNA from 1 species
GACGAACGCUGGCGGCGUGCUUAACACAUGCAAGUCGAACGGAAAGGCCCUGCUUGCAGGGUACUCGAGUGGCGAACGGGUGAGUAACUCGUGGGUGAUCUGCCCUGCACUUCGGGAUAAGCCUGGGAAACUGGGUCUAAUACCGGACAGGAGCCAUUUUUAGUGUGAUGGUUGGAAAGUUUUUUCGGUGUAGGAUGAGCUCGCGGCCUAUCGGCUUGUUGGUGGGGUAAUGGCCUACCAAGGCGGCGACGGGUAGCCGGCCUGAGAGGGUGGACGGCGACAUUGGGACUGAGAGACGGCCCAGACUCCGACGGGAGGCAGCAGUGGGGAAUAUUGCACAAUGGGCGCAAGCCUGAUGCAGCGACGCCGCGUGGGGGAUGACGGCCUUCGGGUUGUAAACUCCUUUCGCUAGGGACGAAGCUUUUUGUGACGGUACCUAGAUAAGAAGCACCGGCUAACUACGUG